rnacentral:rRNA from 1 species
UACAGAGGGGGCAAGCGUUGUUCGGAAUUACUGGGCGUAAAGGGCGCGUAGGCGGCCUGCUAAGUCGAACGUGAAAUCCCCGGGCUUAACCCGGGAACUGCGUCCGAUACUGGCAGGCUUGAAUCCGGGAGAGGGAUGUGGAAUUCCAGGUGUAGCGGUGAAAUGCGUAGAUAUCUGGAGGAACACCAAUGGCGAAGGCAGCUCGCUGGAACGGUACUGACGCUGAGGCGCGAAAGCGUGGGGAGCAAACAGG